rnacentral:rRNA from 1 species
GACGAACGCUGGCGGCGUGCCUAAUACAUGCAAGUAGAACGCUGAAGGAGGAGCUUGCUUCUCCGGAUGAGUUGCGAACGGGUGAGUAACGCGUAGGUAACCUGCCUGGUAGCGGGGGAUAACUAUUGGAAACGAUAGCUAAUACCGCAUAAGAGUAGAUGUUGCAUGACAUUUGCUUAAAAGGUGCACUUGCAUCACUACCAGAUGGACCUGCGUUGUAUUAGCUAGUUGGUGGGGUAACGGCUCACCAAGGCGACGAUACAUAGCCGACCUGAGAGGGUGAUCGGCCACACUGGGACUGAGACACGGCCCAGACUUCCUACGGGAGGCAGCAGUAGGGAAUCUUCGGCAAUGGACGGAAGUCUGACCGAGCAACGCCGCGUGAGUGAAGAAGGUUUUCGGAUCGUAAAGCUCUGUUGUAAGAGAAGAACGAGUGUGAGAGUGGAAAGUUCACACUGUGACGUAUCUACCAGAAAGGAC